rnacentral:pre_miRNA from 1 species
UCUUAUGGAUGACCAAAAAAUGUGAUUCCUUGAGAUGGAAUCUACACCUAGUGAAGAUGCUGUGAA